rnacentral:misc_RNA from 1 species
AAGUCGUAACAAGGUUUCCGUAGGUGAACCUGCGGAAGGAUCAUUAACACGUGAAAACGUAUUAACCAAUCUACCUUAUACAACCUGUGAAUUUCACCCCUACCUUUCAAUAAGUGCUGUUAUAUGUGUUAUGUUGUAGGUUACGAUUUCGGUCGUAAGCAAACAUGUAUGACUAAGGAGUUAUAUCCUGAGGUAUUUAUUGUUGGGCUUUACUUUUUUCCCCUACAACUAAAAAAAUAAAAAACCAAUUUCACCCUAAAACAUCUGACUGAUUACGCUAGUAGUGAGAAAUCACUGGACUAGUACCAUUUAUUCUAACUAAGCACAACUCUUAGCAAUGGAUAUCUUGGUUCUC